UACAGAGGUCUCAAGCGUUGUUCGGAUUCAUUGGGCGUAAAGGGUGCGUAGGCGGCGCGGUAAGUCGGGUGUGAAAUCUUGGAGCUUAACUCCGAAACUGCAUUCGAUACUGCCGUGCUUGAGGACUGGAGAGGAGACUGGAAUUUACGGUGUAGCGGUGAAAUGCGUAGAUAUCGUAAGGAAGACCAGUGGCGAAGGCGGUUCUCUGGGCCUGACCUGACGCUGAGGAGCGAAAGCGUGGGGAGCGAACAGG
rnacentral:rRNA from 1 species